UAAAACAAAAAAAAAAUGGCUGUUCGUGUAUACAUCGCUAGAAUUUGUAUAGUUCAGUAGAAUUUUAUUGAACUAAUGUCCGAAAUGAGGCCAUAUUUGCAGGAAUUCCACGUCUCAUUGAAAGAAAAUUGAAAAUGAGUCAUUUAUUUGAAUAUAUGUUUGCAUUUUUACAGCUGACUGUUACUUCCAACGGUUGAAGUUCGUUCGAUAACUGAACUUAUAGGAUUAAAAUCUUAGCAAACUUAAUUUGCUCUUUACUUGAAUUGUCCAGCAGCUGAUGUCGGAAAUGCGUCUCCUUCAUUCUCACAACACUGAUCGUCCGUAGCGUGAUACAGGUUUUUGCUGUUAUGGAACAUGAUCACAAGAUAUAUUAAGGCAAUGUGAAACAUUAACUUAAUGAGAAAAGUAGGUUUAACAUACUCGCCGAUUACACGAUGGCCACAGUUCAACAGCCAACCACACAAUUGGAAUUUCACCAAGCCAUGGCAGACUUCAGAACAAUGUUUCCAGAUAUGGACGAUGAAGUUAUAGAGGCAGUCCUAAGGGCAAAUCAAGGUGCUGUAGAUGCAACCAUUGACCAGCUUUUGGCAAUGACAACUGACAAUGAGAAUGAAAAGUUGCGCAAUGAAAUCGAACAAAAGGAAACAUUGGAAACUUCAAAAGGUCUUGGCACGACUGCUGAGGUUGCCAUUAUAACAAGUUCAUCUCCUGCAAAAAGCCCUCAGAGGCCAGCUUCUGGAGAUGAAGUGCCAUUGACAUUGUCUACAACACCUCCACUACAUUCACUCCGUGGUUGGGUACCACCACUUGUAGGACCAUUGCCUGAUGACUUUCUAAGGAUAACACCAGCCACGACAUGGGAUAGUCACCAUAAGAAACAGGCAAUGAUGCUUAAUCAGCAGAUGUUACAGAAGAAAUUUGCAGAAAACCAAAAAGUCCGUGGUGUUUUAUGUGAUGGUGCUGACCCUGAGUUAGAUCGCUAUCUUGAAGAUGAGAGAAUUGCUCUUUUCUUGCAAAAUGAAGAGUUUAUGGCAGAAUUACGUUGGAACAAAGACUUUCUUUCUACAUUAGAGAAGGACCAAGCAGAUGAGAGCCCUCCUGAAGAAACACUUGCACCAUAUCCCUUAAAGCCAUUGUCUGCUGCGCAUGAUGAGGAUGACAUAUUCAGAGAACGUCUGCGUAACAUGGGAAAAAUGUCACGAAAGAAGUUUGCACAGUUGGCCAGAGUUUUUACUCGUCGUAAGAAACGAAGCUCUGCAAAGGCAAUUCUUAGCCAAGGUCCUGCACCAUCCAGAGAUAAUUUGCUUUUGAAUGCUGAACCCCUCUUAGAUGAUGAUGAUGAUGAUGACAUGGAUGAGCAUGUUGAUAAAGAAGCACAGAGUGGUCAUGUUUCACCCCAAGUGCGAAUAGAGCACCGAGAAUAAGACUGAUUCUGGAGCGAGAAUUCACCUGUAAAUGGAAAAGCCUUAGUUUUGUCUUGGCUUAUGUCUACAAUGCUUGCAUCUUACUUAAAUUAUGUGAUUUUCACUUCUGUAUAGUAUAAAGUGAAUUUGAAAGUAUGAGACUCACUCACAAGAAGUCCUGGACAGACUAGCUGCCCAUGGGGUCAUGAUUAAUGAAGACAAAUGUUAGUUACAAGAAGUCUAUGUGACAUUCAUCAGUCACCAAGCAGCUGCCUGAGGCAUCCUCUCAACACCAAAGAAGACUGACUAUAUAAGUUAUUUCUUGUAAACUCUAGAAGAAAAGUCAGUAUCAUCAGCUGAAAUAUAACCAAAUUCAGAAACGUCUGAAACAUGGUAUAAAUAAAUUGUAAUAGCCUAUUUUUCACAAAAACUGUACUUCCCAGAAGCAAUUUUGCAUCUGUAGAAUUAAAGUUUCAAACUAUUAUAUCACAACGUAGGGAUAAGACACAAACUAAAAAUCAGCAUGGGUGAAAGCCAGAUGCCUGUAAUACAUGCUCAGUAAGUGCAAGGGCCAUACAGAAGCCAGUAAUUAUAUGAGCUGUGGCCAUGAAACAGUGUGAUGACUUUGUAAUGCUAUUGUAAAUAUAAUACUGCCAUUAAUCUGUACAUUUCAAAAUUUUUUUUGUUCCAUAAUAAUUUUGAAAAAUUAAGAAAAUACUAUAAUGAGAGUAAGCUUUUGUUAAGCGUAGUUUAUCUAUUUAAAAUAACCUCUUUGACGUAGGUGAAAUAAAUGUAUUAAAACAUAUUUUGUAAAUAAUUAUGUAAUAUUUCAAGUACAAUUGUAAUUAAUUAUGUCAAUUUUGUAUGUAUAUGCUGUCAUGCAAUCAUAGAUGGUUCAUACUUAGGGUUUUUGUAAGCAGAAGUGUAAAUUGAAAGGGUGUAGGGAUCAUAGGUAGAACGAAACUCUGUUCUGUGGUGGAAUGGAAAAGGUGGUGGGGCGCGCGAGUGAGAAUUGGCGCGCAAGUGGCUUAUACAGUCGAUAGCUGCCAUGCAAGUGGUGAACAUGCAUUACGUUGGUCAAACACUAGAGGCCCUGAAUUUACCUGCAAGACUGGGUUGUUGGCCUCGGACGUGUUCUACAUGAUUGGUGCAGUAUGGCAAUAAAUUAAUAGCUCAGAAAUUUGCAAUUUUAUUGUCGCCACCGAGAGGAAGACAGAGCUAUGUA